rnacentral:lncRNA from 1 species
AUGGCUCACCCUGGUCAUCACCGAAGAAGCCGCGGAAUGCAUCCGCGCCCCCGUGCCCCUGCCCCAUGCAAAGGGAACCAACCGCUCCUGGCUCACCCCUCUCUCUCCGAGGGGGCAGCCGAGGGACCUGGGCGCACCGGUCCUUCGUCCAGUCCCGCCCACCUAGCCGCGACUCCGAGCUGCCGCCUGCUGCCCCCUGCUGUCCCCUGGCUGAUGAGCCUGAGAGCAGCGCGAGCCGACCCGCGGAAAGCCAAGCCCGCCGUUGUGGGACCUGCGGGGACAGAUCCGGCGGGCGGGGCGUCCGCGGGCUGGGCUGGUCCACCUGCGUGCUCUGCGCAUCCUUCUGCAGCUCCUGCGGUUGGUGCGCCGUUUGUUCCCAGAGAUUCAGGUUUGGAAGACGCACCAGUUACAACCGCACAUGCGCGCUGCCUGGCGAGGAAAAGACAGCGGGACUUUGCAUGUCGAUCACAGCUACUGGGAGCUGAGUCCGAGAGCAACCUGGAUGCAGGGAGCCCCCUGGGCUGAACUCAGACCUUCGCUUAACCUGAGCUCACGUCCCUGGUGCCAGCAGCAGCGCCGCUCCUGGAGCCAGCAGAAGCUCGGGGAAAGCCCAGGUUCCAGAAAGACGGCGCUAGCCUGAAAGUACCCCCUGCCCCACACCGUCGUCGCCACUGGAUAUCAUUACUCCUGAGACCUUUGUCACUUUGGAUGAGUGAAAAAUUGAAAUCCGUUGAUACUAUCAUUUUUCCUUUUUGAGUCUAGGUAGGGCUACUGGUCACCUGUGUGUCUUUUUCUGCAAGUUACCUAUUUAUAGCCUUUGUCUACUUUUCUCUCAAAUUGUUCAUCUUUUUCUUAUUGAUUUAUAGAAGCUAUUGACCUAUUAUCAAUGUGAUGUGUCGUCUAACAUAUAUAUACAUAUGUAUAGCAAAUAUUUUCUCCUAAAGUGUCAUUUUAAACAUCUAUAUUUAUGAUGUCUUUCAUCUUUAUCAAAUUACUAAACUAUUAUGAGUUUUUAUACCUUUCCAGUUUAUUCUUUUAGAUUUUCAUACAUAGAUACUUAUCUGACGUGCAAACAAUGGCAGCGUUGGUCUCAUCUUUCCCAUUGCUACACCUCAUUUCUCCUCUUGGUCUUACUGCACUGACGAGGAUUUCCAUUGUGGACUAAUUGAGAUGAAAGCGAGCAAUAUCUUUUUACCCGGUUCCUCUUUCUAAUACUUUACCAUUAAGUAUGAUGUUUGAUAUAGGAUUUCUCAUAAAUAUCCAUCAAGUUAAAUGUUUCCUUCCAUUCUUAGCUUAUUGUUUUUUUAAAGUAAGGCAUGAGUCUUGAAUUUUAUUAAAUCAAUAUUUUAAUUUUUCACCUUUAACCUCUUAAUAUUCUUAUA